rnacentral:lncRNA from 1 species
AACAAGACUACUCGGAAGCUACGGUUGCAAAACAGUUAGUUCUACAAUAGAUUGUUCAUUAUCAAGAUUAAACUCAGUUUCAAGAGAAGGAAGAUUGUGAUCUUUUUCAAUUAGCUCUUCAUCAGAUUCAUCAAAAAUGGGUAGAGAAUCUAAAAAAAUCUUUAAGUUCUUCAAAAUUGUUUUCAGAUUCACCUUGGGCUUUCUUACUGAUGAACAAGGAUGGCUCAGCUAUUGGGGCACGGGUGGAUGCGCUCUUCUUUGGGCUCUUGCUGAUAUCCUUGAGGGCUU